AGUCAAUAGAUACCCAGGUAGUCCACGCCCUAAACGAUGUCACUAGGUGUUGGGUGGGUAAAACCAUUUAGUACCGUAGCUAAACGCGUGAAAGUUGACCGCCUGGGGAGUACGGCCGCAAGGUUAAAACUCAAAGGAAUUGACGGGGACCCGCACAAGCGGUGGAUGAUGUGGAUUAAUUCGAUGCAACGCGAAAAACCUUACCUACCCUUGACAUGUCAGAAACUUGGCAGAGAUGCCUUGGUGCCCGAAAGGGAAUCUGAACACAGGUGCUGCAUGGCUGUCGUCAGCUCGUGUCGUGAGAUGUUGGGUUAAGUCCCGCAACGAGCGCAACCCUUGUCGUUAAUUGCCAUCAUUUUAGUUGGGCACUUUAACGAGACUGCCGGUGACAAACCGGAGGAAGGUGGGGAUGACGUCAAGUCCUCAUGGCCCGUUAUGGGUAGGGCUUCACACGUCAUACAAUGGUCGGUACAGAGGGUUGCCAAGCCGCGAGGUGGAGCCAAUCCCAG
rnacentral:rRNA from 1 species